AAUAGAUACCCGGUAGUCCAUGCCGUAAACGUUGGGCGCUAGAUGUGGGGACCAUUCCACGGUUUCCGUGUCGCAGCUAACGCAUUAAGCGCCCCGCCUGGGGAGUACGGCCGCAAGGCUAAAACUCAAAGGAAUUGACGGGGGCCCGCACAAGCGGCGGAGCAUGCGGAUUAAUUCGAUGCAACGCGAAGAACCUUACCAAGGCUUGACAGUAUACGAGAACGCUCUAGAAAUAGAGAACUCUUUGGACACUCGUAUACAGGUGGUGCAUGGUUGUCGUCAGCUCGUGUCGUGAGAUGUUGGGUUAAGUCCCGCAACGAGCGCAACCCUCGUUCUAUGUUGCCAGCGGUUCGGCCGGGAACUCAUAGGAGACUGCCGGGGUCAACUCGGAGGAAGGUGGGGAUGACGUCAAAUCAUCAUGCCCCUUAUGUCUUGGGCUUCACGCAUGCUACAAUGGCCGGUACAAAGGGCUGCAAUACCGUAAGGUGGAGCGAAUCCCAAAAAGCCGGUCUCAGUUCGGAUUGAGGUCUGCAACUCC
rnacentral:rRNA from 1 species